CUGCAUGUAGCUCAGUUGGUUAGAGCGCUGCACCGGAAUUGCAGGACCGCAGGUUUGAUUCCUGCCAUGGACC